CUCCCACCUCCCAGGCUCGCCCGCCCCCCACUCCCCUCCCCGGGAGCACAGCGCGGCCCGGCCGAGGGGCCGGCGUCGUCUGAGCGCUCGGGGCGGCGGCGGUGGCGGCAGCGUGGGGAACCAGGACGCGAAGCCGAAGAGGAGCAUGGCGAUGCCCCGCACGAAGCCCCCGCGAGGCCGAGGCGCAAAGAAGGCAGGCGGGGGCGAGAAGGGCCGGGCCUGCACGGGGAGGGGCUGGCGGGGAGGAGCCGGGCAGGAAGAAGAGCCGGUCGGACCCCAGGGCCUCGGUCUUUUCCAGCCUGCGCAUCCGGAAGAUCCUGUCCAAGGGCAGAGGUGCCGGCGGCUCCCGUGACGCUCUGCCGGACCCUCAGGCCCUGCAGGCCGGCGAGCUGGACAGCGCCCACUCCCUGGUCCCCAGAACCCCGGACCUCAGCCUCUCGGCCGUCGAGACGGGCCCGUCCGAUACCGAGUGUGCCGACCCUUCCAAGGUUACCCUUCUUCCGGCAUCCCGGCUGGGCCGGGUUGGGGGGCCCGGCGGUGGCCGCGGAGUCCGAGACCGCGGCGGGGCGCAGCGUGGACACAGACCUCCACAGCUUUCACUUGGCCGCGGGGCAGGAGGACCUGCUCUCGGACGUCCAGCAGGCGAUCCGCGUCCAGGAGCUGCAGCAGCUGCGCCCUCCCCCUCCCCACGCCGGGGCCCUGCUGGGCCUGGACCGACCCCCGCCCGCCGGGCCCCAGACCCGCCCGCUGCCGCCGCUUGGUUGAAGUGGGCUCUAGGCAGACCGUCCUGGAUUUGAGCCCUGGAUUUUCCACUUUACUGGCAAACUAAGUACCCAGCUCUGCUGUCGUCCUGUGAGAGCCGCCGCGGACAACGUGCAGUGAAUAAGCGUGGCUGUUACUUCCUAACAAGACUUCAUUUACAAACAUGGCAGCGGCUGCAGUUUGCUGGCCCCUGGUCUAUACUUAGGAGCUGUCUCGAAGAAAAGAUAUUGCUGUCAGUGAUGUGAUGUGGAAUCUCACGCUUUUACUGAGCCAGCAUCUGUCCUCAGCAUCUGUCCAAGUGCAGCACCUCAGCUUUCCUUUGGGAACUACCUCUCACCUGCUUCCUGUCCAAACAGUUUCAGGGGGCUGAUCCCACGUUCCACCCACCUGGAAGAUGGGUGUAUAAUCCAUGUCUAGCCAAUCCCAUUUUCCAUCCUGUGCUUGCUGUGACCGGUUCAAGGAUGAGAACGUGACCCAAGCCAGGCCAAAGGCAUUCAAAGUCAUGAGUUUUCACGGAGCUUAGGGAAGGAGAAAACCUUCCAGGAAGAAUGGAGAUUGAGUGGGUUUCAUCCUGGAGUUACUGGAGGCCCUAGAUGCAGUGAGAAAGACUGUGCCUAUGAUUGGGACCACCCAAGGCACUCAGCAGGACUGAUGGUUGGAGAGGGACCAGGUCACACUGUGAGAAUGUGAGCCCUUGGGCCUGAUACCUCCAACCCCACUCUUCAACUUGUCUCUUCUUUUCGUCUGCAGUGAACUUCCUCUGCGCUCGACCACGUGCUCUGCUCCAGUACUGGCACGAACACGGGCAGCGCUGGACACACUAAGGACAGCAUGAUCCUGAACUUGAAAUAUGACCACACGUGAUUUUAGCCUUAACUGACAGCCUCAGUCCUACCCUCUUGUGAGCUGAGACUCACAGCAUUCAUCAACGUGAUCAUUUAAAGGCAAACUGCAUGGAAAACAUUUUCUCCACUUAGAUGAGAGCCUCAGAGCGACCCAUCUUUUGUACAAAAUUAAGGUAACCAAACUCCCUUUUCUCUGGUGCCAUCUGGUGGAAAGGAGAGCAAACCUCAUCUGUACCUUCCACAAAAAAAAACCACGGUUCUUUUCAGUGAAGCCUCUCUUUUAUUCUGGGGCUACUGUGAAGCAGCCGUUUACUUUCUUUAGCGCCGUCUUCAAACUAAAUUCUUCAGCCUACAGGUUAGAUAAGAAAGAUCUGCUCUUUUCUCUUGCUCCGCUCCAAUUCCUUCUUUAAAAAUUUUGUAAUCAGAUGAUGCUUCUUCCUCAUGAGACUAUUUUGCAACCGCAAUCCACAUUCAUCUGCAUCUCAAACCCUCCAGAGUAAACAAUUCCAACAGUUGAUUUCUGUAUUAAACAUUGUCAUUUGCUUUUACAUAAACUAUGACAGCACGCAUAUCUCCUUUAAAGAACUUUUUGAAUAUAACAUUGUCACAUAAAUAUAGAGUGGAAAUUACAAAUAGUUCCCUCUUCUAAGAACUGGAUGAGAUAGUAAAAAAGAAAACAUACAGUAUCUUACCAAGAGCCAAUAAAAUAGGCUAGAUUUUUCAGACAUUAAAGAAAAAUACCAAAAAAAACCCCAGGAUAUUAAAAAAGCAAAAAACCCCAUAGUAACAGGAUUAUUAAUCCCCCAAUUUGCAAUACUGAGUUCCUUCAUCCAUUGGCGGUAAAAUUACCCUGGGAAAUUCCAACUGUACUCACUAAAAAGAAGUCAAUUCCCGAUGGUUUUCCAUUAGUGUUUCAUGUGGCUCCGAUUCCAUUCGAGCUUUAUAACCUGCUAUAACGGACAGCUUUUUAACUGUUUCCAAGUCUGCAUUAGCAGAGAGUGGAAAUAAAGUCAAAGGCGCUCCCUCAGA